UACGAAGGGUGCAAGCGUUAAUCGGAAUUACUGGGCGUAAAGCGCGCGUAGGCGGUUUGAUAAGUGAGAUGUGAAAGCCCCGGGCUCAACCUGGGAACUGCAUCUCAUACUGUCAGGCUAGAGUACGGUAGAGGGGGGUAGAAUUCCACGUGUAGCGGUGAAAUGCGUAGAGAUGUGGAGGAAUACCAGUGGCGAAGGCGGCCCCCUGGAUCGAUACUGACGCUGAGGUGCGAAAGCGUGGGGAGUAAACAGGAUUAGAUACCCUGGUAGUCCACGCGGUAAACGAUGUCAACUAGCCGUUGGGGACGUAAUGUCUUUAGUGGCGCAGCUAACGCACUAAGUUGACCGCCUGGGGAGUACGGUCGCAAGAUUAAAACUCAAAUGAAUUGACGGGGGCCCGCACAAGCGGUGGAGCAUGUGGUUUAAUUCGACGCAACGCGAAGAACCUUACCUACUCUUGACAUCCUCAGAACUUUCCAGAGAUGGAUUGGUGCCUUCGGGAACUGAGAGACAGGUGCUGCAUGGCUGUCGUCAGCCCGUGUCGUGAGAUGUUGGGUUAAGUCCCGUAACGAGCGCAACCCUUGUCCUUAUUUGCCAGCACUUCGGGUGGGCACUCUAGGGAGACUGCCGGUGACAAACCGGAGGAAGGUGGGGACGACGUCAAGUCAUCAUGGCCCUUACGAGUAGGGCUACACACGUGCUACAAUGGGGCAUACAAAGGGUUGCGACCCCGCGAGGGUGAGCUAAUCCCAUAAAAUGCCUCGUAGUCCGGAUUGCAGUCUGCAACUCGACUGCAUGAAGUCGGAAUCGCUAGUAAUCGUGAAUCAGAAUGUCACGGUGAAUACGUUCCCGGGCCU
rnacentral:rRNA from 1 species